rnacentral:tRNA from 1 species
ACAUGAGUGCCAGAAUAGGAUGGGUUGGUUUUAAGCAUCAAAUAUGGAUUUAGUUCCCUUAUGUA